CUGUACAGUGGGAGAAUAAUACCUACCUCAUAAGGCUGUUGUGAAGAUUAGAGACAGUCCUGCCUUCACUUAACAAGUAUUUGAGUGACUACUAGAUGGCAGGCACUACGCUUAGCACGGAUGUACAGUAUCAACACACUGACACUCCUCCUGCCUGAGGCAAGAUUAUAGUGUAGUGGAAAAGAGAGAGGAUAAAAGGAACACACAGAAACAUCAUAAAUUAUAAGAAAUGGUAGGACGGAAAGGAACAGGGAGUGUGGGCAAGAAUAACUGGAGGCCGGGGGAGAGGAGUGGAUUUCCUUUAACCAGGUGGGAAAGUCUUUUCCAAUGGCGACAUUUAUGCUGAUUUAGGCAAAGCAUCCAGCCCACACCUGGCACUGAGUUGUUGCUCAAUAAGUGGCAUCUUUGGGUGAUGGCUCCAUUUGUGUGUGGCCCUUCACAGUUUCCCAUAAAGCUUUGACGGAGUAUCGUCAACUUUUCCAGAAGAGGAAACAGAGCCAGGGAAGUCAUCUCAGGACAAGGUCAGAGGGAGCUGGGUUGCCUCCUCUCCCGGAGUCUUUUCUGGGGGGUUGUUGGGAAAGGGAGAUAGGGAGGGUGACUCACUGAUUCAGCAACUUGUGCUUCCAGGAAGGGCCUCCCCACCUCUCCCGUCCGUGGGCUUCCCCGUUAUCCCGUCUCUCCCACCCCCACGCUCCACCACGAUGCCCUCAUCCUGCUAACAGAGUGAGACAGAGUGAGGACGGGGCCUCGACUCCCGGGAGGACUGGGGGCUUCUCACCUGGCUGCUCUCUCCUCCCUGCUCCCUCCUACCUCUUCUCUCCCCCCCCCACCCCCGACAUGGGCAGGGCAGUGGGAAGUGGUGGAGGGUUGGGCCCCACGUCUGUCUCUGCCUCUGCCAAGCUGUGUGACCUGGGGCCUCAGCUGACUCGUCUGAAAAGUGACGGGGAUGGACUUGUGCCGUGUGGGGGUCUUAAACUGUGUUGAGUCUUUAAGAAGCUGAUGAGAGCUCUGGACCUUCACUCCAGAAAGACGCCCCCACGAGCACCGUUACACAUGAUUUCAGGCGCUCCACAGAUCCCCCCAAAAUCGGGCUCCAGGGACUUCUCCUUGAAAUCUCCUGAAGCAACGGUGGUCGUGGCAACCACAACCCUUACUUAACCUUGAUGGUUUGGAAAGUUCAUUCGUUCUCUUGUUAACUCAUGACAACCCUCUAAAACGUGUUGGUUGUGGAAUACUCCUAAUUCCAUCUCACUGAUGAGAAAAUUGAGGCACCAAGAAGAAAAGGGAGUUGCUUAGAGGAGCCCACCGGACUUCCAACUCUGCGUCCCUCAUCAGGGCUGUCUCCCUCCUGGCCAUGUGCACCUCACUCAUUCGUCCCUCCCCGAAUCCUACCAUCCCCUCAACUUUCUAUCUUUCUAUCAGAGGAGGGGUGGGGAGGGCCGCGGAGGGUAAAGCUACUCUGGUGCCAGAAAAGGUUAAUAGGCAUGGGUGGCGCAGGUGUUCUGGAUCAGGUUGGCCACACCUUGGUUUCCGGAGCCUCCUCGCUGCUUGCUGGGCGUGCCAAGCCCCAGUGGCCAGAACCCCACCUCUCCUGUGAGGCCCAGCCCGGCCCAGAGCAGCAGUGGGGGCAGGUCCCAGGGCAGGCUGUGCUGGAAGUCUGGGGCCUGCCGAGGGCAACUCGGGAAGGGCCCUGUCAACCCGAAUGGAGCACAGCUUUCCCCAGGGCCCCACUGACGCAACUGGAGAGGCCUUGCAGGCCCUUCUGCAGGAAGCUGAGGAUAGAGGUGACUUUGACCCGAGCAGGGAGGCGUGAAGGGGAGGCUCCCUCCAUGCUGAGCUGUCAGGCAGGCCUGCCCCUGCCUGCUCGCCCCACCUGCCUACCCCCAGCGGCCUAGGGCGCUUUCAUCCCGGCAGCUCGAAGGCAGCGCUGGCGUCCCGUUGUGAGUCAGCUGUCCAGGCUGGGUGGCCACUGAUACCAGGCAGAGAAUGUGAGCCUCCUCCCUCCAAAGCCCCAGGGACGGCCAGCUGCCGCGGACCUGCUGGGAUGAUCCUGAGCUGCCCGCCCAGUUCUCAGAGCCCCAGAAGCUUCCUGAACAUCUGGCACAGUUGAGCCACUCCUUGCUCCCCUCCUGGAGAGCUGUCCUCUGAGCUCCUACAGAAAACGUUCUGCUUGGCUCCCGUCUUCCAGACUGGCGCCCUUCCUCCCCACAGGUGUCUUGGCACCCUGUCCUCAGUCCCCAGUCUUCCUUCUCCAUGGUUUCUUCUUCAGAAGACUAAGUUGACCCCCUCUUCUCAUCCACACCUGAGCUCCACAUUUCUGACUUGAAAGUGCCCCCUGGACAUUUGCGUGUGGAUGCCUGGCCAGCCACACAGAUUCAGACUCUCCAAAAAAGAUUAUUCUUCCCUUAAUUCCUUCUCACACAAUUGUGAGACCAGAGCAGCCAGGUCCAUGGCCCCAGAAUCCCUGGAAAUAUUCAUUCCUGCCCGCUUUGCUUCCUCGAAGCUGACUCACUCGUCAAGGCCCAGCUUCAGUCAGAGCUCCCGUGGAAAGCCCUUCCCAGCCCAGCACGGCUCAGAGACCCCUCCCUCCUCCACCCCUCCACCCACCUCCUUGGCUGGCUCUUCCUCAUCCUUCAGGCUCAGCUCAGACAUCCUCACCCUCUAGACCACAUCAGCUCCUGUUACAGGCUCCCAUGGGCCCCUAGUCCCCUCACAUCAGGGUUAUUUGUUCCUCAUCCCCCCCCUCACCCCGCUCCCCAGCACUUGUCAGCUUUGUACUACAAGCUCUGCCCGUCUUAUUCAUCACAGUAUCCCCAGCAUCUAGUGCUACUCCUGGCACUAACAGGUACUGAAUAUAUGUUUGUUGAAUGAUUACAUGUUAGUAUUUAAUCAAAUUCUGUCAAGCGCUAUUUCAGUUCCUUGAGGGCAAAGGCCAUGUCUCCGGUGGAUCCGUGACCACAUAGCCCUCUUGUUUCUAGCUGCGUGUAACCUGAUUGCUGAGCUCUCAGGUGGCACAAAAUUAAUGGUUUGAGGGAUGGGCUUCUAAGAUUUCCUCAUAAAACUGUCAAGAUGCCUUGGAGUGGCUCCUGCCUGGUGGGCUGGGACACGAUGCCCUCAGCCUGGAGACCGGAGGAGCUGGGAAGUGAUGGAACCAGGUGAUGCCGUUCUGGCCCUUAAUGGGCUAGGGCGCGGGGUCUCAGGCAGCCGUCAUGUCAGACCCUGACAUGUCAGACCCUGCAGUGAGCUGGCCAAAUGGAGCAGCCAGCUCCAACCCUCCAAACGACUUGCACUCUACAUUUGUGCCCCUUUUGGUCU
ensembl:lncRNA